ensembl:snRNA U6 U6 spliceosomal RNA
GUGCUUGCUUUGGCAGCACAUGUAUUAAAAUUGGAACUAUACAGAGAAGAUUAGCAUGGUCCCUGCGCAAGGAUGACACCCAAAUUUGUGAAGUGUUCCAUAUAUAU